rnacentral:rRNA from 1 species
AUGUGGCCCAUUGACGCACAACGAAUUCUUUCAAUCCCAAUUUCGCAACAUAAUAUGACAGAUUUCAUUGCCCGGAGUUAUACAAAAAAUGGUACGUUCUCGGUACGGUCUGCUUACUCUGCGGAGUGGAACUAUCAGUAUGGGAGUCAACUAAAACACUCUAAUGGGAUGGGGCGAACCACACCUAACCCUAUAUGGUGUCAAAUAUGGAAGUUAUCAUGUCCGGGAAAAGUCAAUUUUUUUAUAUGGCGUACGUUACAUGGCACUCUCCCAUGUCGGGCAACACUAGCUAACAGACACAUGAAGGUUUGGCCCUUGUGCCCUACUUGCUCUCAGGGUGUAGAAGACACGAAACACAUGCUUUUUCUAUGUACUAAAGCAAAGGAGGUCUGGAAGAGACUAGGGAUGGAUGACAUUAUUGAUAGAGCUUGUGAGGUUGAUCGUGCUAGAGAGGCGAUAGAAUACCUUUUACUUCUUCCAGAGCAAGAUUUGCAUAUUAUGGGGUACCAAAAUGUACGAGAAAUGAUGGCUAUUUCAGCUUGGUAUCUAUGGUGGGAGAGACGGAAAUUAGUGCACACGGAAGUAACUCAGAAUGCAACUCAGAUAUCAAUGGGGAUCAUAGCCCUUACAUACAAUUUUGUAAAUGCAUCAUCUUUAAAGGCGUCCAUAAAAAGGGGGGUUGACUUUGUCCUCCUAGGGGUUUCGUGA